UACGGGGGGAGCAAGCGUUGUCCGGAUUCAUUGGGCGUAAAGAGCGUGUAGGCGGCCAGGUAGGUCGGUUGUGAAAACUGGAGGCUCAACCUUCAGACGUCGACCGAAACCAUCUGGCUAGAGUCCGGGAGAGGAGAGUGGAAUUCCUGGUGUAGCGGUGAAAUGCGCAGAUAUCAGGAGGAACACCGGUGGCGAAGGCGGUUCUCUGGGCCUUACCUGACGCUGAGGAGCGAAAGCGUGGGGAGCGAACAGG
rnacentral:rRNA from 1 species